rnacentral:rRNA from 1 species
AUUGAACGCUGGCGGCAGGCCUAACACAUGCAAGUCGAACGAGUGGCGGACGGGUGAGUAAUGACUGGGCACCUGCCUGAUGGAGGGGGAUAACUACCGUAACCGGUAGCAACUACCGCUUACCAUACGAUGUGCCCAGAUGGGUUUAGCUUGUUGGUGGGGUAACGGCUCACAAGGGCGACGAUCCCUAGCUGGUCUGAGAGGAUGACCAGGCACACUGGAACUGAGACACGGUCCAGACUCCUACGGGAGGCAGCAGUGGGGAAUAUUGGACAAUGGGCGCAAGCCUGAUGCAGCCAUGCCGCGUGUGUGAAGAAGGCCUUCGGGUUGUAAAGUACUUUCAGCGGGGAGGCGUUACCCGCAGAAGAAGCACCGGCUAACUCCGUGCCAGCAGCCGCGGUAAUUC